GGCCCUCUAGUCCAACUGGUAGAGACAAACGUUUUAAGCUCGUUUCAGUGUCGGUUCGAAUCCGACGAGGGCUA
rnacentral:tRNA from 1 species